rnacentral:lncRNA from 1 species
UACAAGGCCCUGGGUUUAAUUCCUAACACUGCCAACAAGCAAAUGAACAAAUAAAUAAAGUAGAUGAGAAAAAAACGGCCCAUACUUAAAGAGAAUGAUUUGCACUGUUGACAGUUUUGACACUUGCAUGUAUCUUCAGUGAUAAAUUGGAGACCACAGAUUAUCAUCCAUUGUUUGUGAAAGAAAUGUGGUAUAGUACUGUGAUUUCACAGUAAAUUAUUUUUUUAGGAAGCCUGAUUACCCUAGGAUAUAAAACAAUAGUAACUAUAAACUUUGCCUUUCUUUUAAUGGCAUAAGCCUCAGAAUUAUAAUCCUUUUCAUUAUAAAUAAGGUUUUAUUUUAUAUAUAGCUCUGUUGCUGUGUUUUCACUUCUGUUCCAUUAUAUUUUACAUGUCUUCAUUGUUGUCCAAUAGCCUGAGUACUGGAGCUUUAUAACAACACUUGAUAUCUAGCGUGCUUCUAAUCCAAGCAAGAGGCCGACACAUGAAGAUCUUCGCAAUUUGCUCAAGAAACUGCAGAAAAUGAUGGAUAGACUUGGAUAUGGACCAUCUAGAGAGAGACCUAGAGCAUUGCCCACAAGAUAUAAGUCUACUAUUGCCUCUGGAUCUUCUCAAAGAGGUUUGACUUGGGUCCAUGUCUUCCUUGUGCCUUUGCUGACUUGAGAGCAUCACAGUCUUUGCCAUGCUUCAAGUGGCUUAGGAGAGAGGGAGUAUUGGUUGGAGGAGACCUUGACAUAUCU